rnacentral:rRNA from 1 species
AUGUGUGUCCCUGACCUAAGUAUUCUUAGGAGUGCUGUGUUAGGAGAUAAAUCUUAUAAUUUGGGAGCCAUUGUUGCAUGUAGGUUGCAUCAUGAUAGAUUUAAUGGAGAUUUUUUCGGUGGAAUUUAUGCAACCCGUAUAGCUAAUUUUCUUGGUAUAACCAUACGUGAGGAUGAUAUUGAGUUGCCUCCUGCUUAUUUGGAUUAUGAGGCUAUGGUUCGUCAUCAUUUUGUUGAGAGGAACGAUCAAUUCCUCCAGUACCGACUAAUCUUUGACAGACGACACACCUAUCACGUCGCUCUCCCUUCUUCUACUUUCUUUGACUUUCAGGCAAAAGGGAGAUAUUUUAUAACCAGAGAGGAGGCGGAAGAGUAUAAGACGAGGGCUGAGAUAGCUCGCCUCCAAGCUGCAACCCACGAUGCAAUGACUACUGCAUCACAGUACGACCCCAGUUACAACUUUGGAUAUCCGCCAGGCCAGCCGUGGCCAUAG